CCUACGGGAGGCAGCAGUAGGGAAUCUUCCACAAUGGGCGAAAGCCUGAUGGAGCAACGCCGCGUGGGUGAAGAAGGUCUUCGGAUCGUAAAACCCUGUUGUUAGAGAAGAAAGUGCGUGAGAGUAACUGUUCACGUUUCGACGGUAUCUAACCAGAAAGCCACGGCUAACUACGUGCCAGCAGCCGCGGUAAUACGUAGGUGGCAAGCGUUAUCCGGAUUUAUUGGGCGUAAAGGGAACGCAGGCGGUCUUUUAAGUCUGAUGUGAAAGCCUUCGGCUUAACCGGAGUAGUGCAUUGGAAACUGGGAGACGUGAGUGCAGAAGAGGAGCGUGGAACGCCAUGUGUAGCGGUGAAAUGCGUAGAUAUAUGGAAGAACACCAGUGGCGAAAGCGGCUCUCUGGUCUGUAACUGACGCUGAGGUUCGAAAGCGUAGGUAGCAAACAGGAUUAGAUACCCGUGUAGUC
rnacentral:rRNA from 1 species